rnacentral:rRNA from 1 species
CAUAUCAAUAAGCGGAGGAAAAGAAACUAACAAGGAUUCCCUAGUAACUGCGAGUGAUAGCGGGAAAAGCUCAAAUUUAAAAUCUGGCGGUCUUUGGCUGUCCGAGUUGUAAUCUGGAGAAGCGUUUUCUGCGUUGGACCGUGUACAAGUCUCUUGGAACAGAGCGUCAUAGAGGGUGAGAAUCCCGUCUUUGACACGGACUACCAAUGCUAUGUGAUGCGCUCUCAAAGAGUCGAGUUGUUUGGGAAUGCAGCUCAAAAUGGGUGGUAAAUUCCAUCUAAAGCUAAAUAUUGGCGAGAGACCGAUAGCGAACAAGUACCGUGAGGGAAAGAUGAAAAGCACUUUGGAAAGAGAGUUAAACAGUACGUGAAAUUGCUGAAAGGGAAACGCUUGAAGUCAGUCGCGUUUGCUAGUACUCAACCUGUCUUUUGACUGGUGCAUUUACUAGUGAACGGGCCAGCAUCAGUUUUGGUUGCGGGAUAAAGUCUAGAGAAAUGUGGCAUCUUCGGAUGUGUUAUAGUCUCUGGUCGUAUACCGUGGCUGGGACUGAGGAUCUCAGCACGCCUUUAUGGCGGGGGUUUUACCCACCUUCGUGCUUCGGAUGCUGGCGUAAUGGCUUUAAACGACCCGUCUUGAAACACGGACCAAGGAGUCUAACAUGCCUGCGAGUGUUUGGGUGGAAAACCCGAGCGCGUAAUGAAAGUGAAAGUUGGGAUCUCUGUCGUGGAGAGCACCGACGCCCGGAUCAGACCUUCUGUGACGAUUCCGCGGUAGAGCAUGUAUGUUGGGACCCGAAAGAUGGUGAACUAUGCCUGAAUAGGGUGAAGCCAGAGGAAACUCUGGUGGAGGCUCGUAGCGAUUCUGACGUGCAAAUCGAUCGUCAAAUUUGGGUAUAGGGGCGAAAGACUAAUCGAACCAUCUAGUAGCUGGUUCC